rnacentral:rRNA from 1 species
CCUACGGGUGGCAGCAGUGGGGAAUAUUGGACAAUGGGCGAAAGCCUGAUCCAGCCAUGCCGCGUGUGUGAAGAAGGCCUUCGGGUUGUAAAGCACUUUCAGUGGGGAAGAAAGCCUUGGGGCUAAUACCCUCGAGGAAGGACAUCACCCACAGAAGAAGCACCGGCUGAACUCCGUGCCAGCAGCCGCGGUAAUACGGAGGGUGCGAGCGUUAAUCGGAAUUACUGGGCGUAAAGCGCGCGUAGGCGGUCUGAUAAGCCGGUUGUGAAAGCCCCGGGCUCAACCUGGGAACGGCAUCCGGAACUGUCAGGCGAGAGUGCAGGAGAGGAAGGUAGAAUUCCCGGUGUAGCGGUGAAAUGCGUAGAGAUCGGGAGGAAUACCAGUGGCGAAGGCGGCCUUCUGGACUGACACUGACGCUGAGGUGCGAAAGCGUGGGUAGCAAACAGGAUUAGAUACCCCAGUAGUC